AGAAGAGUAAGUCAAGAGAU
rnacentral:snRNA from 1 species